rnacentral:tRNA from 1 species
ACCUGGCUGGCUCAGUCAGUGGAGCAUGUGACUCUUGAUCUCAGGGUUGUAGGUUCGAGCCCCAUGAUAGGUG